rnacentral:rRNA from 1 species
UACGAAGGGUGCAAGCGUUACUCGGAAUUACUGGGCGUAAAGCGUGCGUAGGUGGUUGUUUAAGUCUGUUGUGAUAGCCCUGGGCUCAACCUGGGAACUGCAGUGGAAACUGGACAACUAGAGUGUGGUAGAGGGUAGCGGAAUUCCCGGUGUAGCAGUGAAAUGCGUAGAGAUCGGGAGGAACAUCCAUGGCGAAGGCAGCUACCUGGACCAACACUGACACUGAGGCACGAAAGCGUGGGGAGCAAACAGG